ensembl:lncRNA
GGAGAGGCCGAUCCCUUCCCUCCCCUCCUGCCCUGAUCCAGGUUUUGGGAGGGGUUCCCAUCCUUCCUCCACUUCCAGCCCUUCCCGCCCGCUCCGAUACCAUCUCGGAUCCUUCCAUUCUCACUGCUCCAAUAAUCCCGAUCUAAUUUGCCGGGAGCCGGCGCCGACUUCCUUCGGCACUUCAUUAGGGAGCGUGAGCAGCAUCUCAUUAUCCCAACGCCGCCACCAUUCCCGGCAAAUUCCCUGCUGGAAAAACCCAAAGUCCAAGGUGGAUUUGCCGUCCCCACCAUCCUCUGGGAUGGGGGAUCCCAAAUCCACAUUUGGUCGCACGCGGAGCGGUUUCUGCUCUCCAGAUCCGGAUUUAUCCUUUGGGAUCCCCUGGGUUGAGCUCAGUUUUAGCUUCUCCCAAAAAAUUCAGGUGCUUUUAUCAGGAUAAUUUUGACUUUUUGGAGAAUUGUGCUCAUACCGACCCUGGAAUUAUUUCUGGAAUUCCACAUUCCCAGGGACCAAGGGACUCUGCUCCUAACCCACGUGCAGCCAUUCCCUCCCAACCCAUUCCAAACCCAUCAUGCCCAAAAAAGGCUGCAAAACAUCAUCACCAACAUUUUCCUUUGGGAAAUGCGCAGAUUUCGGGAUAUUUUUGGGGUGGAAACCCAGUGGCGCCCUUGGGGGUAAUUUUUAGGGAGCGGCUGCCUGGAUUUGGGACCAUGGGGAAUGAUAAAAGGAAAAUCAGGAAUUAAUUAUGGGGGGGACUGGGGAGGAAAUUAAGCCGGGGAGGGGGAGGUUUGCAUAAAUCCAAUUAAAAAUUCCCCCAAGUGCUUUGGAUGCAGCCGAUUCCAGGGAUGAGGGGGACAUGGAUGAGCUCAACCCCCACUCCUGGAUUUUCCAGCGGCUCCUCCCGGCAGGAGAAAGGGACAGACAAGGAGAAAGGAAGACAGAUCCGAGGGAAGGAGGGAGGGGGAGCGAGCACGAGCCGCGGUUAUUUAUAGGAGCUGCGUUUGUGCCGGAGGAGGGAGCGCUGCCAAAAAGGGAUGGGAAAAAUAAUCCCAGAGCCAGGUGCCGCCGCCUCGGGAAGAGCCGGGGGGGAGCUCAAGGGAAUGGGAGGAAACUGGGAGCAGCUGGACACCGAAGGGACUCAAACCUUGUCCUCAAACUCCUUGAGGAAUUCCAAUGUCCACGGUGGGGAUUGAUGGAUCCGCCGGCAUCCGGACGGGAUGAGCGAUGCAGGACCAACCAGUGGCUCCCAACCCUUGGGAAUUCAUCAAGGAAAUCUGGGAAUUGCCCCACAAACUCUUGGAGCCCGUAAUCAAAAAAAUGAAACACUGAUGGCUUUGCUGCGUAAACCAAGAAAACUGGGAUUGGGAAUGGGGAGAGGGAAAUGAUCCCACAAUUAUUUUGUUUCCCUGUUUUUUUCCCAGAAAACAGCACCAAGAAAGCCAGGAGAGGAGCGACGCCUUCCAGCCACAUUCCAGACUCAUCCAAGGACCGGCGGCUCCGUCUCCCGCAGGAGAAGGGCGAGGGGGGUUUAUUUUAAAUCCUUUUCCUGCCCUAAUCCAUGUGACGCCAAUCAGGGAUCCGGCCCCUCGGGAAUCAAUGAUUAAUGGAGUUAAAUUUAGCGGGAGCUUGCCGGAGUAAAAUUAGGCGCCAUGCAUAAAACAUCACAGCUCCUCGUUAGCACGGCUAAUUACGCUAAUGGGGGGCGCUCACGCGGGCCUGGAAUUAGGGAUGGACCUCCCGACCUCCUCCCAGCUGCCCAAAUCCAUGGUGGAGCUGG